CGGCGGGUAGGGCUGGGGGGCUAGCCCUCCCCUUCAACCUGAAACGGGCUGAUGCAGGGGUCAGUAACCGGGUGGAAGGGGUGUCCGGCCCUCCGUACGGCACAGUUGGGGGGAGAUGAGGCCGCGUCCCGCCGGAGAACGGUAGGGUGCGAUGCCGCGUGUAGGCGCGGCCUCUCACACCCGCAUGCGCCGAACCGCGUCAGGCCCGGGAGGGAGCAGCGCUAAGGUGCAGCCGGGCUGCUGGUGGGGGUGCGUGGCUAAUCAACUCAUCUGGGCUCGGCGGAGGCCCCGGCCCUCGACCACCCGGAGCCGCCG
rnacentral:SRP_RNA from 1 species